CCGGGAUAAGCUUGGUGCUACUUUUUUUCUUUUGUUUGUUAUUUUCUUUGAAUAAGAAGAUUGAGAGUUUUUGAAUAUUGUGAAGUGAAUUAUGGAAUGGAAAUGUGAUUGGUAUUAUUUGAGAAGAAGAAAGAUUGAAUGCUAAAAUCUGAUUGUAGUUCAGUAGAGAGAAUGAGUCUGUGUUUGUGUAAAAUACUGUAAUGUGAAUGGCAGUUCUAUGUGAAGAAUUCCAGUGAUUGGAAUGAGAAUAAUUGUAUGCUGAAAGCUAUGAAGGCGCAGUAUUACAGUUGGAGAU
rnacentral:lncRNA from 1 species